GACGAGGGGUCCUAGCGUUGUUCGGAAUCAUUGGGCGUAAAGCGCAUGUAGGCGGUCUAUCAAGUCAGGUGUGAAAUCCCUGGGCUCAACCCAGGACGUGCACUUGAUACUGGUGGACUUGAAUAUAGGAGAGGAUAGUGGAAUUCCUGGUGUAGUGGUGAAAUACGUAGAGAUCCGGAGGAACACCAAAGGCGAAGGCAGUGUCCUGGGUGGUCGCUGACGCUGAGAGGCGAAAGCCAGGGGAGCGAACGGG
rnacentral:rRNA from 1 species